rnacentral:lncRNA from 1 species
CUUUGCUAAGACAGCUACCCUAGCUGAUGAAUUGAAGGAGCAUAAGAACAAAAUAGCAUGUGUAGACUGUUUAAAGAUUCAACUUUUAGAUUCACCACAACCCAAAAGUAAAUAAAAAGGUACAAGAAGAAAUACAGCAGUCUGGAAAUGUGAUCCAUUUUCAGAUUAUUCAUCCUUUUACACUUCCCUAAUCAAUCUUUGAUGAGCUCGUAUGAAGGUUCAACUAUUAACACUAAAUGAGAUUCCAAUUAUGACAUAUACAUCGAAGCAUAAUCCUUUAAAAUAAACUCAGCACUAUUCCUGAGCGCGCAAUUCAAAUCAGCAUAAUGAACUCCAAAAUGGAGCCCAUAGAGUUAUAGUAAGCAACAACAACAGCAUACCCAGCGAAAUCCCACAUGGGGAGAGUCUAAGUUGCGCAAAAUCUUCACUUUCGAUGCCGCACCCGUGUCGGAUUCUCCAAAAAUACACUAGCUUUGGCGAAUCCGACACGCAUCCGUUGACAUUUUUGAAGAGUCCGAGCAACAUAGGGGAGGGUAGAGUGUAUGCAGACCUUACCCCUACCUCAUAGAGGUAGAGAGGCUGUUGCCAAAAGACCCUCUUCAAAGAGUUAUAGUAAGCAUAAGCAUCAGUCUAGUUCAUAGCUAAAACGAUCACCAAGAUUCAAUUUUUACAUACACAUUUAGGUGCUUAAGGAACAACAAAUAGCAGAUUCCAAUUCUGAGACAUUCCUGCACAUUUACGCUCUAUGUUGCUUGGACUCUUCGAAAAUGUCAGCGAGUGCGUGUCUGAUCCUUCAAAAGUAGUGCUUUUUCGGAGGAUCCGACACAGGUGCGGCAACAUUUUUGGAGAGUCCGAGCAACUUAGUUUACACUCAAGAGUGCAUCCAAACACAGUACUGGUGGGAUAUGACAAGUACCCUAUGAAUUAGAUGCAAAAAUGAGGGAAAAUACAUACACAACAACAACAACAUAGCAAGUCAAAUCCCACAAGAGGGGUCUCAGACCGGGUGUGUCUCGGAGCAUGGCCUUUCACUAAGGAAGUUCAGAGUAUGAAAAGUAAACACACGAAUAAAUCAUAGGGGGUUCAAAAUCUAUUAUACAUAUAUAUAAAGGAAGAUCAAUUUUUUGUCGAAACCCCUUGGCCCUACCUUACUCCACCCCAACUUGUGAGAGGCUGUUUCCGAUAGACACUCAGCUCAAACAGUGGAAAAAUAACACAAAUACACUAUUUUAUCAUCAAGAUAGUUAAGUGACAAACCUCCCAAACAAUCAUGGCAUCUUGAUUGAUACCUUUUUUCCCUUGCUGAGUAUAUAAACAAGCAACACUACUACCACCAUUCCCAAUUAACCUUCCAUGAAUCUGCUCAAGCCCCACCUCAGCUCCUCCUCCUCCUCCUGCACUCAACUUGCUUAUAAAUGUACUAAAAUCACCAUUAGAAGAACUGCUCUUCCUCAACUUCAAAUCAAACUUUUUACUCUCAUUUUCACUCUUCUUCCCUUUUCUUGAUGAAUAGCAAAUUCCCAUUCUUUUGCUCCAAAAAAAAAAUCAAAUUUUCUCAACACACAAAAAAACAAUAGGUGAUUCCUCCCGUCUGCUACCUAAUAUUCAUCCCGGACACCACGGUUACCAAAAAAAAUCAAAUUUUCUCUGCAGACAAAAAAAUACUAGGUGAUUCUUCCCGUCUGUUACCUAAUAUUCAUCCCGGACACCACGGUUACCAAAAAAAAUCAAAUUUUCUCAGCAGACGAAAAAAUACUAGGUGAUUCUUCCAAUCUGCUACCUAAUAUUCAUCCCAGACACCACGGUUAUAAAAAAAAAUCAAUUUUUUCCUGCACAAACAAAAAAACACUAGGUGAUUCUUCCCGUCUGCUACCUAAUAAUCGUCCCAGACACCACAGUUAUAAAAAAAAAUCAAAUUUUCCCAGCAAAUACAAAAAAACACUAGCUGAUUCUUCCUGUUUGUUACCUAAUAUUCAUCCCAGACACCACGAUUAUAAAAAAAAAAUCAAUUUUUUCCAACAUAGACAAAAACAACACUAGGCAAUACUUUCCGUUAAAUUAAAACUAACCUCAACACCACGAUUAUAAAAACAAAAAACUCAAAUGUUACUAAAAAAACUUAAUUAACAUUCUUGUUUUUGUAAUGACUAUUAUAAGAUUAAGAGAAUCUUAAAAAUCAAAUUGUUACAUAAACAACAUUACAACUAAAAAACCUAGAAAUCAACGAAAAUCAAAUGAAAAUUACAGGUAAAAACAGAUGGAAAAAUAAUCAGGUGAGGGUGUAAAGUGUGAGUAGGUAUAGAUUUUAUGAACUGUAUAAUAUACUAUAGUUUAUG